UACGAAGGGGGCUAGCGUUGCUCGGAAUCACUGGGCGUAAAGCGCACGUAGGCGGAUUGCUAAGUCAGGGGUGAAAUCCUGGAGCUCAACUCCAGAACUGCCCUUGAUACUGGCGACCUUGAGUCCGGGAGAGGUGAGUGGAACUGCGAGUGUAGAGGUGAAAUUCGUAGAUAUUCGCAAGAACACCAGUGGCGAAGGCGGCUCACUGGCCCGGAACUGACGCUGAGGUGCGAAAGCGUGGGGAGCAAACAGG
rnacentral:rRNA from 1 species